UCCAUCUUGGGAGCUGACGCCCAAAAUAUCUUCCGAUACGGAUAUCUUCCAUGUAAGGUGGCGGAUAGAGCUCAUAAAAUACCUUCUCAAUUAUUCCUUGAUCCUUCUCAGUGACUCCAUCUUUGACCAAUCCGUCGUCCCCUAGUCUACUGCUGCAGUAUAAGCCCAUCAAGGAAAGAUGCAUCUUUGCACCAAGCCUGGCUUUUGUGGCAGACAACAGACAAG
rnacentral:lncRNA from 1 species